GUAGUCCUGGCCGUAAACGAUGUCGACUUGGAGGUUGUGCCCUUGAGGCGUGGCUUCCGGAGCUAACGCGUUAAGUCGACCGCCUGGGGAGUACGGCCGCAAGGUUAAAACUCAAAUGAAUUGACGGGGGCCCGCACAAGCGGUGGAGCAUGUGGUUUAAUUCGAUGCAACGCGGAGAACCUUACCUGGUCUUGACAUCCACGGAAGUUUUCAGAGAUGAGAAUGUGCCUUCGGGAACCGUGAGACAGGUGCUGCAUGGCUGUCGUCAGCUCGUGUUGUGAAAUGUUGGGUUAAGUCCCGCAACGAGCGCAACCCUUAUCCUUUGUUGCCAGCGGUCCGGCCGGGAACUCAAAGGAGACUGCCAGUGAUAAACUGGAGGAAGGUGGGGAUGACGUCAAGUCAUCAUGGCCCUUACGACCAGGGCUACACACGUGCUACAAUGGCGCAUACAAAGAGAAGCGACCUCGCGAGAGCAAGCGGACCUCAUAAAGUGCGUCGUAGUCCGGAUUGGAGUCUGCAACUCGACUCCAUGAAGUCGGAAUCGCUAGUAAUCGUGGAUCAGAAUGCCACGGUGAAUACGUUCCCGGGCCUUGUACACACCGCCCGUCACACCAUGGGAGUGGGUUGCAAAAGAAGUAGGUAGCUUAACCUUCGGGAGGGCGCUUACCACUUUGUGAUUCAUGACUGGGGUGAAGUCGUAACGAGGUAACCGUAGGGGAACCUGCGGCUGGAUCACCUCC
rnacentral:rRNA from 1 species